rnacentral:tRNA from 1 species
UUCUUUUUAGUUUAAAAAAAAUAAUAUUUUUGUAAAAUAUAGUUAUACAAUAUUUAUAAAAGAAU